ACAGAUGGUUUAUCAUACUACCAUCUGCCAGAGAAUUACAAGUGAAAAACUUAAAACUCCAAGGACUUGACGGUGCCCCACACCAGCCUAGAGGAGCCUGUCCUAUAAUCGAUACCCCACGCUCCACCUCACCCCCCCUUGCCAAACCCCGCCUAUAUACCGCCGUCGUCAGCCCACCUACUGAUAGCAACAAAAGUCAGCAUAAUAGCACCCCGCUAGCACGUCAGGUCAAGGUGUAGCUAAUGGGGGGGACUAAGAUGGGCUACAUUUGCUAACCUCUAGCAAACCCCACUGAAAGCCCCAUGAAACAAAGGGCCAGAAGGCGGAUUUAGCAGUAAACACCGGCAAGACCUGCCAAUUUGAACACCGCUCUGGGGCGCGUACACACCG
rnacentral:rRNA from 1 species